rnacentral:rRNA from 1 species
GCGAAGAACCUUACCAGGUCUUGACAUUGAUGGACAGAACUAGAGAUAGUUCCUCUUCUUCGGAAGCCAGAAAACAGGUGGUGCACGGUUGUCGUCAGCUCGUGUCGUGAGAUGUUGGGUUAAGUCCCGCAACGAGCGCAACCCCUAUCUUAUGUUGCCAGCACUUCGGGUGGGAACUCAUGAGAGACUGCCGCAGACAAUGCGGAGGAAGGCGGGGAUGACGUCAAAUCAUCAUGCCCNNNNNNNNAAUCGCAGGUCAGCAUACUGCGGUGAAUACGUUCCCGGGCCUUGUACACACCGCCCGUCACACCACGAAAGUCGGAAGUGCCCAAAGCCGGUGGGGUAACCUUCGGGAGCCAGCCGUCUAAGGUAAAGUCGAUGAUUGGGGUGAAGUCGUAACAAGGUAGCCGUAUCGGAAGGUGCGGCUGGAUCACCUCCUUUCUAGGGAGA